rnacentral:lncRNA from 1 species
ACACGGAGUGCAGGAUGAGAAAAGGAUGAGAAGAGGAGAGACAGGAUAUGACUUGUGGGUGAAGGAACGAGCAUGGGUACUUCUGGUUGGAGUGCAGUGGCAUGAUCUUGGCUCAUCAACCUCCACCUCUCAGGCUCAAGAGAUCCUCCCACCUCAGCCUCCUGAGCAGCUGGGACCACAGUCAAUACAGUUCUUGAAUGACUGAAAGAAAAAAAAAGGCAAUACGAAGUGUUAGCAUGAAUGAGGAAAAACUGUUAUG